rnacentral:tRNA from 1 species
GCGCUCGUAGCUCAGCAGGAUAGAGCAUCGGUUUCCUAAACCGAAGGUCGGAGGUUCGAGUCCCCCCGGGCGUA